AGCCCCCCCCCACUGACCCCCGAGGGCCACCCUGGGCGGCAGUGGAGGGUGAGGCAGAGAAUUCACACAGGGCUCCAGAGCCUCCCCGACCAACUCCAACGAUGUGGCAAAGAGCUUUGCAGAGCGGAGGGGCCUGUACGGAGCCGGGCAAGGCCAAGGUCGCCCCUGGGCAGGAGCACGGAGCUGGCCCAGCCACCGCCGCUUGGGGACACGCGUGCCCCCCGGCUCGAGAGACCUGCAGACGCACUGUGGCUCAGGGCAGUGUAUUUUAAACCGUGCUCUUUUUUUUUUAAAAAAAAAAAAAAACAAACCACCAAACCAAAACCAACCAACCAUCGAGAGUUAAUUUAAGUUCCUCCGAAGAACCUGUUCACAUCAGCAAAGCGAGAAGCACAACCUGCUGAGAAGAACAACGAGACCACUGGAAAGGUUCAGCCUACAGCCCCAGUUCUGACAAUGCACUGUUUCUACUGAUACUCAUGCUUUUUCCAUUUUAUUGCCAAGAUUACAUGAAUUGUUGACUUUAUUUUUACACAAUAAAGAGUGAAGAAAGACACUG